GCAUGAGUUGGUGCAGCACUAGGAGGCUGAGAAUAGAGGGAGCUGCAGUUGCUCUCCAGCCUGAGAGAGGGAAAGGAGGAAACCUGGGGAGAACAGAAGCCCUGUGGUCCUGUCCCUGAAGGAAAAGCAUACCCAGAGAAGGGUGGAGAAAGAGUCUGACAGAGACAAACCAGGAGCAGUCUAGGGAAAUAGUAGCAAUGUUUGGGACUGUGCAGACCUUGGCUGCUGUUUGUGAGAUCCCUGGCUAGAACCCAGAGUAAUGGAUAGGCCUGGGUUCCCCUACCAGCUGCUGGGGAAGUGGCACAGACCAGGCAGUGAAGCAGAGAACUGCCUAGGACAGCUGUCCAGUGGGACUUUAGUACCCUGUAAAGGGAGGACUACAGUGAAAUGGCUGGAGGGCCAAGCUGUGAAGAAAGAGCAUCCUGUCUCACAGAGAGAGGCAGCAGGACCUGUGAAUGAGCAACAGAAGUAGGUGUCAAACCUGGGAAGAGCUAAUCCCCUGAGUAGCAAGGAGGAGGCACUCUAGUGAGGCUGAAUCCCUCACAGAAGAAGGACUGCUAUGGCCCAGUGGCUGGCUGAUCCCCAAGGCAGAGGUGGUGUCACCUUUGGAAGCAGGCCUCCUGGCCUGAGCAAUCAGGAGAUAUCUAUAUCACCACAGGAAGAGGAAUUUGGGGGACAUAACACUGAAAUAAAGUCUUGCAUUAAUAUUAUACCAUCAGACCAGAAGCCUUUCACUGGGGACCAUUCCAGAUCUAAGGUGGCCUUCCAUAACAUGGUGUCCACUCCACCGAAAGGUUUUGAAGGAUUACUGGAAGCUGCAAAUUAAAGCUCUCUCUCAGCAAUACUGAAGAAUACUGCCUUUAACGUUACAUGUUGAAGGAGAAAAAGAUUGAAGAAUGCACGAGUAAGGAAGUUGUUUAUAACAGUUAGAAAAAUCUCACUCUGACAUUAAAGGAGACUCUGCUGAAUCACUUGAAAUGUAUCAAUUUGUAAUCUACGCAAUUACAGGAGAUGCUCUGCUCUGAAAGCUGUUUUCCAGUCUGUGCCAGAACAUGUGAAGCUGUGUAGAACACGUCUGUUGAUAAACCUCCAGGCUCCAUUUCUCCAUAAUUGAUUUAGUUGUUGUUAGUUAUGCAGGGAGAGAAGAGAUCCUCAAGGCUUGGUAAGACAGUAUUCCGUUACUAAAAGCAACCCUUUGUGAAUUAACAUUAAAAUACCAAAUCCCCCUCAAUAUUAUUCCUUUAAGUCUUUUUUUCCUGGACACCAGCUGUCACAGAGGAAGUCUCCAGCCUCAUCUUCUCCUGCCUCCUUAUCCGUCUGGAGCUGCAUCAGCAUGGCCUGCAGAGUUUCCUUCACCAUCUGGAUCUCCCUCUGUAGAGACUGUACAUGCUUUAUUAAGGAAUAAACCUAAAGGUGAUUGGUAGCCCCUCUUCUCUUGCCAAGUUAUGAAAUAAAUUGUUGUUCUGCUGUUCACAACAGAUGGGCAUUGCUA